rnacentral:rRNA from 1 species
UACGGAGGGGGCUAGCGUUGUUCGGAAUUACUGGGCGUAAAGCGCACGUAGGCGGCUUUUGUAAGUUAGAGGUGAAAGCCCAGGGCUCAACCCUGGAAUUGCCUUUAAGACUGCAUCGCUAGAAUUGUGGAGAGGUAAGUGGAAUUCCGAGUGUAGAGGUGAAAUUCGUAGAUAUUCGGAAGAACACCAGUGGCGAAGGCGACAUACUGGAUCAUUACUGAACGCUGGAGGCUCGAAAGCGUGGGGAGGCAAACAGG